rnacentral:tRNA from 1 species
UUUUAAUAGCUUAUGUAAGAGUAUAAUAUUGAAGAUAUUAGGGAGAAAUAAUUUCUUAAAAUAU